rnacentral:rRNA from 1 species
AGAGUUUGAUCCUGGCUCAGAACGAACGUUGGCGGCGUGGAUUAGGCAUGCAAGUCGGGGGAAUCCCGCAAGGGGGAACCGGCGUAAGGGGCAGUAAGGCAUGGGUACCUACCUUUGGGUUCGGGAUAGCCAUCAGAGAUGGUGGGUAAUACCGGAUGAUGUCGUGAGACCAAAGAUUUAUCGCCCGGAGAGGGGCCCAUGUGAUAUUAGCUAGUUGGUGAGGUAAUGGCUCACCAAGGCUCAGAUGUCUAGCGGGUGUGAGAGCACGACCCGCGCCACUCGCACUGAGACACUGGCGAGACACCUACGGGUGGCUGCAGUCGAGGAUCUUCGGCAAUGAGCGCAAGCUUGACCGAGCGACGCCGCGUGAGCGAUGAAGGCCUUCGGGUUGUAAAGCUCUUUAGUGGGGGAGAAAAGCCCGCAAGGGUGUGAUCUAUCCCAAAAAUAAGCACGGGCUAAGUUCGUGCCAGCAGCCGCGGUAAGACGAACCGUGCGAACGUUGUUCGGAAUCACUGGGCUUAAAGGGCGCGUAGGCGGGCUGUCAAGUCUGGGGUGAAAUGCCGCGGCUCAACCGUGGAACUGCCUUAGAUACUGACGGCCUUGAGGAAGGUAGGGGCAUGCGGAACUGUAGGUGGAGCGGUGAAAUGCGUUGAUAUCUACAGGAACUCCGGUGGCGAAAGCGGCGUGCUGGACCUUUUCUGACGCUGAGCGCGAAAGCUAGGGGAGCAAACGGGAUUAGAUACCCCGGUAGUCCUAGCCCUAAACGAUGGGUACUAGAUAGUAGCUUGAUAUGGGUUUACUGUCGAAGCUAAAGUGCUAAGUACCCCGCCUGGGGGAGUAUGGUCGCAAGGCUGAAACUCAAAGGAAUUGACGGGGGCUCACACAAGCGUGGAGCAUGUGGCUUAUUUCGAGGCUACGCGAGAACCUUAUCCUGGACUUGACAUGUGC